UUGAAAAAUUAUAAUGUAUGGUCGAUCAUUCAGAUGAGCACGAACGAACGGAAGCAAGCAAUAAUUUCUUUCGAAACCCCCCGCCUCCCCGCCACGCAGCAUUAUUACUCGUACCUCAUCGUUGUCGUCGGGAUUCUUUGGAGGGAAGGAUCAUCGGAUCGGGGCUCGUCUCCCGUCAUCGCCGUGCUCGGCCCUCCCAAACCCUAUAUUUCUAGGGUUUCGGCUUCUUGAUCUGCGGGUUUCUCCACUGCCAAGUUUUCAAGCGCCGCCAGGCGGUUUCAAACGGAAACAUGGCAGGCUUUGCCGAUCUUUCUCUGUUCAUUCGCUGUUCUCAGUCGUGGUGGCGGCAGAUCUGGCGCAAGGUUUCUUUGAUUCGAAAUUAGCAGCUCCGUAGAUGCUUUUCUUUCAUCGAAUCCCCCGUGAUCACACCAAGAUUUGUUGCAUUCUUGAUGCGCGAUUCGAUUGAUGAGUUUUAGUCCGUAGGAUUUUGAAUUUUCUCGAGAAUUGUUUUUUUUUCCGGGGCAGCUGACGGAAUUUUCUUUCUUUUUUCUUAUCUUUGUGUUUGCGGCGAUACUUGCAGCCUCUUAGACUAGAAAUCAAGAGUAAACUUGCGCGAAUGUCAGAAAGAGUAAAAUCCGUAGAUCUACAUCCAACAGAGCCAUGGAUUUUGAUGAAUCUUUAUUCUGGAAGUGUCUGCAUCUGGAACUACCAAUCACAGGCACG